AACACUUUACUUGACGCCUAUCUCUAUAACACAUCAUAAAUAUAUGUGUAAUGCGUUAUAAUCAGGUUAAAGCACUGUAUAACUAUAGUUAUAAACACUCAUAAAUCAUCAUAAUGCUUUAUAAUCAUAACACAUCAUAAAGCAUUUUAUAAUGACUUACAAGGUCAGGUAUUAUAAUGUGUCAUAACUGUUAACAACUCACUGACAAUGCCCACAUAGAUAAUGCAUUAUACAUUUAUUUACGAUGUGUUAUAAUUUGCUUAUAAACUUGUAUAACUAUCAUUAUAAACACUCAUUAAUUAUCAUAAGGCUUUAUAACAAUAAGCAUAACACAUCAUAAUACCUGACCUUGUAAGUCGUGAUAAAAUGCUUUAUAAUGUGUUAUGAUUAUUGCUAUAAAGCAUUAUGAUCAUUUAUGAGUGUUUAUAACUAUAAUUAUACAGUGCUUUUAUGUGAUUAUAACACAUUAUUAAUAUAUUUAUAAUGCAUUUUAGAGAUAGGCAUCAAGUAAAGUGUUAUCCAAUAGCUAACUAUAAUAUAAAGUGUAAAAUAGUGUGUUUUUACAGUGUGUAGAGAUGCAGUAAGAAGUGAAAUUCCUGUUUUGCACUCAGUUAAAUGUUUAAGAUCGUAUCUGUUUACUAUUGUGUUGGUUUUGAUUGACCUGCUUUUACUUUUACCUUUAAAUGCCCACUAAGAUUUCCUCUUUUUUAAAUUAAACUACCCUGUAUUGAUUGCUGUAGGUUGGAAAGUUUAAGAAUUACUGAACACAGUUAAUGACCACGUAAAUUUAAGGGUUUUACUCAAUCCCUUUAAUUCCUCGAUUUUUAGUGCACCCUUCCUCUUCUUUGUCUUUUCUGUUCAAUCAUUCGUCCAAUUAACUCACUCUUUCUCUCAGCCCUUUGUUCCUCCUCUCCACUUUACUCCAUCUUUCUCUCUCUCUCCCCCUCCUGUUUUCCCUCUCUCCUCACCCCCUGUAGUUAAAUCCAAGUGCCAGGAAGCAUUUGUAUGGUCUAAUUUGUGUGUGCGGUUGUGAAUUGAAGUGUGUACGUGUGUGGUUUGCAUACUCACAUGCAGGGUUUGACCUUGUGCAACCAACUGUGUCAGAGCCUCUCUUCAUUUUCCCACAGGUGUAUACCAGAAAAUAUGUGUGUGUGUGUGUGUGUGUUUGUGUGUGAGCAGCGGUGUGUCAUUUGUGUGUCAACACCAACAUGCAGCACUGUCCUUGUGUAGUCAGGCGUGAUCGCACUUCCUAUAAUUAUCACAGGUGUGUGAAUGCACGAACACCUCUGCAUGUCAUAUACAUACCAGCGAGUACGCACCUCUGUUUGCACACUCGUGAAAGUGUUUGUAUGUAUUCGUGCAUGAGUGUAUGUAUCUGUAUGCUGUUUGCAUGCUGAAGCUUACAGGGCGCCUGCAGGUGCAGUCUGUUCAAUUCAGCAGGUUUGGGUGAAGAGCGGUUCACUUGUCAGACAUUGUUUUGCCGACAUAAAUCACGCUCAUACAGUUCAGAAAUAAGUGGGGAACAAUUACACGUUAACGUGCAGACAAACCUGCAAUUUAUUUCAUGCCUUCAGUCUACACAGUGACUAUACCUGUUUACUUCUUGACAGGAUGUGGUGGAUCUGGGUUUGAUGCAAGAAAGGGCAAGUGGUUCACUGUUUGGAAGACGUAACCUGCAAUACACUUGAAGCUAUCCUUCAGGAUAACAUAGUGUGAGACUGCUUGAGAGGAGUCUCUCACAGUGAUGAUGAUUGCUCCCACUCAUGGGAGGAUCCUGUCUUUUUGGGGUGAAAGUAAUUGGUAAAGUCAUUAUUUGAAAUGUCUCAAUCACUCCUGGAAAGAAAGAUUUAAUAGAGAAAAAAAGAGAAAUCAAGGCUUCUAGCGUGAGAAUGGGUCUCACUUUUGAAGGGGUUAUAUACAGUAUUGAAUCUAAGUCACAUUUACUUUGUUGAUUUCAAUUAAAGCUACUGUUAGUGAAUUUUUGACAUAAAUAUAUUAUGUAAAUUAAAAUUCAUAUCCAUGCCUUUUUUAAAUGAUAUACAAAAGCAAAUAAGACCAUCAGCAACAAAAUUGUCCAAUUGUAUUUUAUAUUUUUCAAUGCCUAAAAGCAGUGUGAGGUGGUUUCAGUGGACUAGCUAAACAAACAACUUAGUUUUUGCUCUUCAUAUAAAAUAUUCAAAAUAGAUGGUUUAUUAUACUGUCAAAAAACAGCAAGAUGAGAUAUUAGUCAGAAGACAUGACAUAAGAAGACCUCUUUGUCCACAGGGGCCCCAAAACAUGGCAAAACUAAAGUUUCUUCCAGGAGCUUUAAGUUGUAAUUUCUGACAGAAAAUCUCACCCUGCUGACUUUUGGCAGUCAAAUGUACCACUAACUGUCUAUAUUUGAAGUGGAAACUGUAAAAACAUUAGCUGCUUAGCCAACACCUACCCCUUCACACUGGUUUUAGGCUUAAAAUUAAGAUAUAACAAGUUGUCAGUCCUAUUGUUGAUGGUCUUGUUUGCUUUGGGAUAUCAUGACAAGGCAUCGAUAUGAACUGUAGCCUUUUUUCAAAAACAAAAAAACUUCUCACAAGAGCUUUAAUCUUAAAUCUCACAAUUUACAGAUUACCACAAAAUCUUAAAGUAUGCAAAUGUAUCACUCAAAAUUAACCUGCUUUUCUUCAUUGUAACUUAUUUACAUAAUGGCCUCCUGCCCCACCAAAAUGAAACCAUACAGCCGUUUUCACAGUUACUGUGACAAAUAACCUGAAAUCCAUGAAUAACAUUGUUUACAGUGGCCUUAAACAGGAAGCUGUCUCACUGCCUCCUUUGCAGGAGUGUCCUCAAAUAACCAGUAGCUUUAAGUAUCUGUGAGCAUAAACUCUAAAUCCCUUCUCGUGGUUAAAGCCUCUGCGCUAAAGAAAAAAAAAGCCCUUGAGGGAUUAGACGUAAAAUGUCACAUAAUCCAAUGCUUUUGGUGUAGCUGUAGAAAUGAUGUGCAUGUAUGUUUUAAGGUGCUGUCAAAUUUAUCAGGAGACAAAUGUGAAGCUGCAAGGCCAUUCAUGUAAAUAGGAAUGAUAAUGGGAAUAGGAAUGACCUUUCUGGUCAAGUAAAGGUAUAGACAAAAAAAAAUGUAAGUAGUUGGAUUUCUAUGUGUGUGUUUGUGGGCUUUUAGUGUGCAAGACGCUGUUAUACACUUGAGGAAGUUGUGGGUGUGUGUAGGCUCCAGUUCUUCUGCAAAGCACCUCAAAAUCUGUUUUCACACUGUUUGUGUUUGGAGCAGUUCUUGUCUAGCGCUUGAGCAUUUUCUCUCCGAGUGUGGUUCAGCUGGAAGUUGAGGAAAAAAAAAACAUGCUGUAACAUUAUGCAUUCCCUGCAGAAGCCACGAAAAAAAAAAUCAGUGUCACUGCUCAUGGUGAAGGGAGCUGUUAUAUGUUACUUUUCUAGUGACUUUUUAGGCAGAUGAUUUGCAAUGGCCUGUAAAUGCUAAUGCUGUAAACUUCAAAAAUACAUACAAGGGUUGAUAAGAACUACACAGAUGUCCUGCAAACAAUUAACAAAGUUGUUCUAAAAACAUUGCAUAAACAGUAUAUCACACUGGAAAUAUGUAAAUGAUGCAACAUAAUAAUGCACAAAAGUAGACAAAUGAUGCAAAACAGCCAUAUCUUCAUAAAUAUAAAUAUUGUUUGAGUUACUGCAGAUCAUCUGCCCCUGUUGCACACUGUCUGCCUUUGUCGGCCUCUGUAUUUUUACCUUAAAAAAUCACACAAACCCCCAUGCAACUCUGACCCAAACAAAUCAAACACAAACUGUCUGGUGCAGAAGAAACAGGAGGUUUGAUUGCAGCGGCUGUCAUAACAUUUCAUGCAACGGUAUGUAAUAGAAUAUUAACACUGUUAUUUAAAUACAGGCUUCAAAUUAGAUCAUUUUGUUGCUACAUAAACCUCAACUGAACUUGUCAAAACAACUUAACUCACUGCAUUUUUCAUACAUCUUCUCAGUAAAGUGCUCAAAUCCAGUGUUUAUUUCAGUGGGGGGAAGGUCUAUGAGAAAAAAAAGAGAGUGAGGCAAAGAAAUUAUAGAAAAUAAGCGAAAAGAUGGAGAGUCAAGUGUAGCUGCUUUAUUUCCUGUGCUGUAUUGUUUCCCCCCAAAUAUCCUGAGAGAGGGCAUACAACCUGCUUUUGGAUUAAUGAAUCCGAAUCUGAAUCUCUUAGGAAGGCUCUAUAAAAAAACAAUCACACAAUUAUUUUUCUCCUCCUCCCCUACCCCUUCUUUUAUUUAAGAGGAGCACACGCGCUCAAACACUAGCAGACAGAGAAAGACAGACACAGUUAUUGACCACCUUCACCUUUUCUUUUCCUCCCGCUCUGUCUUCCACUCUUGUUCACUCAUGCAGAAGAAGCAGCAGGGCCCAGGAGGGGCGUUGCUGAAAAAGCCUUGGAGGAAUUUUUAAGAGAUGUUUUUUAAGGAAUGUAUUUCUGCCCGAGGAGGAUGUGGUAUCUCCUAAAUGUAUUUUGUAGAAAAGUUUCAGGUCAACUGCUCUAAUCUUUCACUGUCAUUGAAUACACACAAGAAACCAGGUUGGAGGGAGAAAUGAGGUUAACACAUGACAUCAGAGAAUACUUGGGACAUGUCCUUAACCUGGGUGACCACAGUCAUUACUAACCUGGUUACUAAGUUCAGUCCAACUUUAAUGCAAACGUCUCUGCAGUGGUGUAACAGCUCUUGCACAAUUUAAUUGGAAAAGAGUCGUUUCAUGAAUGCUGAUGUGUGGUAUAACAUCACCAGCACUCAUGAUGUGUGAGUGGGAUACAGAAAAUGUCUGAAUUGCUUGGCAGUGGGCCAUUAACACUCAAGUCCCAGGACUACUCGUGUUGGUGCCAAGUGAAAGUCCAUCCAUCCAUUUAUUUCUGCUUAUCCAUGGCCAGAACACAGCGCCAGCAGCAAAGCAUGUUGAUCGGUCUCUGAUGUCCCCCAGCUCCACUUUUUCUAAAGGGAGGUUUCAAGCAGUAUGUGCAAUCCCCGCAGAAAACUUGUUGUCUACCCUAGGGUCUCCACUCAGUUGGACAUGCCAGGAUUGAAAAGUAGAUCAACUUGUAAAACCAAAAGCUUCGCAUUUGCCUCAAUGGUCUGAUGAUGAUUUCUUCCACUCCUCCCAAAAGACUUGAACUCCGUCACCUGAGGCAGAGACUCACUUCCCACAUAUAGGGAGUGAUUUACUGUUUUCCAGCUCAGACUCAUGGGGCGCCCACCCGUAUCCUAACCAAUUUGCACUUAACUCCCAAUCCCCCCAGUGAGUUACCACUCCCAUGAAACCAAUAAACCCACAUCAUGUGCAAAAAACUGAGAUGAAAUUCCCAAACUGGCUCCCAAACUGGAAACACCCCCGCCCCCUCAUUAAUCUCAAGAACCCAAUAGUAAACCCUCUCCAAGUGCACUGCACACAUGCAAACUGGAUAAACAAGUUCUGAAGCUUUCAGUCCCUGGACCCUCUUUUUAUAAACUCUACCACAGUCCUUUCCUUUCAAGCAACAUUUAAGAUCAUUUCAGCCAAGAUAGUCUGUCAACACCCGAAGCCUUUGGCUUCUCACACACAAGUCUGUAGAUGUUUCCUCUGGUGAUCAAAUGAAUUACCUGAAUGUUUCAUCAUGGCAGUGUCAUGGUUGCUAACAGCUGGCCAUUUUAUGGGCACACAAGUAUUGUCUUGCCACUCUUGGGCUUUUUGAGUUCCUCAGGGACCUUUUGGGGAUAACGGGCAAACCGCACAGGAUCCAGAAUGGCUCCACUCUGGCAUGGCAGGCAGAUCAAAUACGUAAGCAUUGUAAUCAAUGUUUGUCAUUCCACGGAAUCCGUCCGCCGUCCACUGUGGAUCAGCUCUGGCUGCCAAAUCAGAUACCCAAGGCUUCUAUUUUUGCUGGACGCUGGAGCAUGGCGCAUCAAUCCAGUGCAGCGCAGCACAAGCAGCAGCGGAAGUUGUAUGCGGCUACAGACUAGCUGCCUACAGUUAAUUUUCAAACUAAAGAAAGUCAAUACGUUCUUAGCUGUUCCUAGCUUGAUAAUAGGAGAGGCCAGAGUUAUGGGAAGUGGUAGUUUAUAAACACUGCCAUUUAUAUACACCAAUCAGCAGAUCUUAUUCAAUUAUUAACAGGGAAACACAUGAGAUCUUGUGAGAUCUUGUUCCAUCUCGCGAGAACUAUCAGUAAUAUCGCGAACAGUUAAAAGAGAGCAGCAAAGCCUUUUGGAAGAAAAACAAAAUAUGUAUACAGUGAAGAGAUUCAGCACAAACCAGCAGCUCCUUAUAGAGGCUUUAAACUUCUGUGUGGGACAAAAUCUUUUGUGUGAUUGAUUGUGCUGAUCCUGCAUGCGCAUGUAAACACAGUUUGUUUUGGUCCCUCUUGUCAUCACUCAUAGACAAAAAAAAAUCAAUAACAUAUCUCAAUGUGGAACAGGGUGGUAAACCUCUAAGACAAACUAGGGGAUGAAUUGAUUCAUCGAAAUCCAUAACUUUCCCUCAUUGUGUUGAUUCCUUUUCUCUCUCUCUCAUAUACACACACACACUUUGUCUCUUUCUUUGAAUUUUUGCCUGCACUUUACUGUUUUUUCUUCUCUCAGAAACACAAAGACUCUCUCAGCUCGUAGCCCUUGGGGUGUAGCACUCUGAAAUGGUAGCUGAGGAGCAGAAGUAGACAAUCUCAGAGGAUGUAAAAUGUACACGAGUCUGUGAUGUCGCUGUAAGAUGGUGUUCAUUGGAUGUAAAAGGACAGAGUCUUGAUGAUGAGAUGCUUUUGCACCACUUAGGUUAGGUUUUUGAAAGUUUAAAAAAACUUGUUUAUCUCCCAAAAGUGAACACUGUACACACAACAGAACAAGGGGAGAAGCUUUUCCUUUUAUUAAUCACAUCAGAAUAUAACAAACAAAACAGAAAUGCUUCUAGUUUUAUCAUGUUUUUUUGUAAAUGUAACUCUGUAAUUUACUGUGUGAGUCUAAACAAAGAACUGUGUGUAACUCUCUGCAGACCUUAUAAACCAUAUUGUAUGAGCCAUAUGUGUGAGUAUGUAGUCUGCUACAGAUUGAUUGUAAUGUUUAUGUAACAGGAGGAUUUUAUGAGUAGUCUCCUAAAUGUACACUACAUCUGUUCUCUGUUUCUCCAACACGCCCUAGUCAGGUCAAUGCACUCAGAACACAUUAACUUUCUCCAUAGGAUGAUCAGCUGUCUCGUUACGAGGGUAACUGGGGGUGCAUGGACAGUAGUUGCAAAACAGUGCAGGGGAAGUCAGACAAAAGUCUACACACAAGUAAUUGUGCAGAAGGCUGGCUUAGACCUAACGUUAUCAUAGACUGCAGAAGGAACUUUAUUAUCCAUUAAUCCUUUGACAAGUUUACUUGUUACUGUGAUCCAUCUUACCAUGGAAAGGCAUGGAUUUGGUCCUUCUUCAUUCUCUGGUAAACAACCUCACUGUAAAUGCUCUAGUGGGAAUUCACAGACCUCCCAUAGUCUCAUUACGUUCACAUACCAAAGCUAGCCUUUAAAGCUAAGUUGUUUGUGAGGGACACAUCAUGAAGUAUGGAAAAAACAACAUUAAAUAAAAAGCUGAAUAUUUUUCAGAAUAAAUACCCAAGUU
rnacentral:lncRNA from 1 species